AAAGUCUUUCUCUUCUCAGAA
rnacentral:tRNA from 1 species